GCCCUGGUUGGUUCAGUUGGUUAGAGCAUUGUCCCGAUAAACCAAUUUUGUGGGUUUGAUCCCCAGUCAGGGCA
rfam:Myotis brandtii contig286060, whole genome shotgun sequence.